rnacentral:lncRNA from 12 species
AUGAUGGAACCAGUCAGAAAAAAUCUCCUUGUCCACCCACGCGUUACCCUGGGCCUUGUACGCCACAGGCAGGUGCUGGAUGCCCCCGAAAGCCCGGGGGGCGCCGCAUUUCCCAAUCACCAGGGGUUUGAUUUUGUGGGAGCCGGUGGCAUUGGCGCACAUCAGGACGGUCAGCCUGUCCUUGUUCUGCCGGACGCCGGGCGCCGGGCCGCCCUCCAGGCCGGGAUUUGGCAAGCACCGCCAGAAAAGGCCGGUCUCAUCAGCGUUGUAAACCUGCUCAGGGGACAGGCCGUGCUCCGCGGUCAGGCUCCGGAAAAACCCACAGAACUGCUCGGCCGCUCGGUGGUCGGCCCCCUGUCUUUCCCCGGACGCGUCCAGCUUCUUAAUGCCAUGUCUGGCCUUAAACCGCCACAGCCACCCGCCAGAGAACACGCAGGGCUCUGUCAGCUGCAUCUGCUCAUAGAAGUCCUUGGCCUUUUCGAUGAGCAUGGGGCCGGAGACGGGCACGCCCUCAGCGCGCUUGCCCAGGAACCACUCGUACAGCACGCGGUCCAGGUGCUCGAGCUUGGGCGUGUGCAGGGUGCGCCGCUGCUCCAGGGCCUUGUUGGAAUCCGAGUUGGCAAAGAAACGGAGCAGCUGCGCCUUGUGCGCCUUGAUGUCGUACAGGGUGGACAUGCCCACAUUGUACUCCUGCAUCAGCACCUUCCUGCUCUCCCCCUUCUCCAGCCGCGUGCAGAUGUCAAUCUUCUCCUUCAGGGUCAGCACCACCCUCUUGCGCUUCUCCCCCGGGCUCCUCCCGGCCGCCUGCUUGGAGGCCAUUGGGGGUGGCUUGUCCCCAGCGGCUGGGGGGACACACACGGGGGGGGGGGGUCCUGGCAGACUCCUUGCCCCCUCUCCUCUGCUCCCUCACCUGCCUGUCCCGUCUCACCGAGCCUGGGUCACCAUGGGCACAGCCUCUCCAGCCUCUCCUUCGUUCCUCCCUCCAGUGUCAGCCGCCCCUCGCCCCGGCUGUUGCUGGUCUUCCGGGCUCCCCGUCCUCUCUGCGGGAGGGGACACUGGCACACGGGGGGGUUCCUGGGGGACCUGUCCACCUGCUGGAACCUCUGGCCUUCUCUGAGGCGGACGGUGGCAGCUCCUUCCUUCAAACGUGGACCAUCGAGUACUGGGGUCCUGGGGACUGGUUUCUGGUUGAACAAGGUUGUGCGGUCUGUGCUGGGGACGCCUUUCUGGGCUCACAGUGCUGUCUCGCCCAACGUGCUUUAG